CCCGCAACGAGCGCAACCCUCGUUCCAUGUUGCCAGCGCGUUAUGGCGGGGACUCAUGGGAGACUGCCGGGGUCAACUCGGAGGAAGGUGGGGACGACGUCAAAUCAUCAUGCCCCUUAUGUCUUGGGCUUCACGCAUGCUACAAUGGCCGGUACAAAGGGUUGCGAUACUGUGAGGUGGAGCUAAUCCCAAAAAGCCGGUCUCAGUUCGGAUUGGGGUCUGCAACUCGACCCCAUGAAGUCGGAGU
rnacentral:rRNA from 1 species